GGAAAUUUUAUUCCUGGACCCAAAGAACUGGGCCACAGCCGUGUUGUUAGAGGGUAAAUGCUGGUAAGCAGAGGCCCGGGGACUGCUGUUCUGAAGCACUUCCUCCCCAGGCCCAACACGAUUCCUUGGCUUCUCCCCGACUGCAGCCUUUGAGAACUGAAGAAGUAAUCGUCCAACCAAGCACCUCAGUAACGUGCCAAAGUAUGAGGGAGACUUCACACCUCAGCUGGUUCACAUCUGCAGGGAGAGAAAGCAACUGGCAGCUGAAUCCAGCCUCACAAACCCCCCGGCUUGUCAGCCUCCCGGGGACUGCGGGGCAGACCCGGAACCGCCGAGAGAG